CUCUAUGAGAGUGCACGGGUCGGUGAGAGGUAUUCGGUAGCAGUAGGCGGUCCCGUAGAUAACCCAGCCCUAUGCCAUGGAGCGCUUUAAAGGUGGUCACCAAAACCUUGAAGCGCACCCGGAAGGCCACAGGUAGCCAGUGCAGUCUGCGCAGGAUGGGUGUUAUGCGGGAGCCACGAGGGGCUCCCUCUAUCACCCGCGCAGCCGCAUUCUGGACUAACUGUAGCCUCCGGAUGCCCUUCAAGGGGAGCCCCAUGUAGAGAGCAUUGCAGUAAUCCAGGCGAGACGUCACGAGUGCAUGAGUGGCAACCAUUUGGUGUGGACUGGAUGGCAUGACAGCUGUCAACCACUGGAGGAUGGAGCACACGCGUUUCCAAGAAGAGGAAGGAUAUAUAAAACUUCCUGCCUUGGAAGCAAGAAUGUCGAGCCCUAGCCGGGACUCGACAAACAUGAGCGGGUGGGAGAGUGCGAGACGCAGCGGCGGAAGCUACCUGUAAUGGAGUCGGGAUGAUGACAGGAGAUCGAUUUGGGCAGCGAACGGAUGGCUGGCAUUGAGAGGCUGCCUGCGAGGAUUGAGACCCAGUUAGCAAAGGCUCUGAACUGACAAGCUCUUCCACUCCCAAAGCUCCCAAGUCCCUGCACCAAUUGGCUGGAUGCAAAUUAUCCUAAGCGGCCAAAAGCCCAAUGCGAACAGUACUUUGACGAAUGGGCCGCAGCAAAGGGACUGGCAGGAAGUGGCCGUGGCCGAUGUGCUGUGACGAAAGUCUGGGGGAGGGCCAGCCAGGGAAAAAAGUUUGUGGCUAAUAACGCAGGGGCAAAAACCUUAAGGAAAAACAGGCAAGUUCAAAGGUUUUGAAGUGAAAAGUCCUAGACCCUUUUGAAGCUUGGUAGUCACCUUCUUUUCUGUCUCUUAGUUUGUAGCCCAACCAUCUCUCUGGUUUAUUUGCAUGUUCAAAAAAGUGUUGUUUCGUAUAUUUAAGUAUUCUUCAAUAUCUGAAACAGUCAACAAAGAAAUUUGUUGUUGCGAUUUUAGUUGAUUAAGUAUGUUAGAAUCUUCUAGUGAAUUCUAGAGUUUCCUCUGCUUCAGUUUAAUUUCUUAUAACACAUUUUGGAUUUUUUUCAUCCUCUUAAUUGCUGUAUUGUAUUGUAUAAAAUGACCUGCUAUAACAGCCGUACAACCAUCCCAAACUGCUGUCAACUUAGUUCCCUUUCCUAAAUUAUUAUUAAAAUAGUCUUGAAGUACCUGUUUACGUUCUUUAACAAUCUGUGGUUUCUGCAGAAUAGACUCAUUUAAUCUCCAUUUAAAAGACUGAGGACCAAAUUUAUGAUUAUGGACAAAAAUGUUUUUGGAAGAAUAAUAACUAUAGUUGCUUUGUGAAGUAAUUUUUUAAAAUUCAGAUUAUAUCAAUUCUAGAAAAGGAUUGGUGUCUCUCUAAAAAAAGGUAAAAUCUUUUGUUAGUCCAUUUUUACACCUCCAAACAUUGAUCAGACCUAAACUAUUGGUCUGCUCGAAAAUAUUUGGGGCAGUUUCCCUUGUGUUUCUUUAAUUCCUUUAAUAGCUGAUCUGUCCAGUUGUGAGGUUACUAUCCCAUUGUAAUCUUCAAUUGCACAUCAAUACUGAAAAGAAUAGAGAGCAAGUGUUCAGACAGUUGUUUAAAAACUUGUUUUUUUCUUGCUGUGGGGCAGUGGUGAAAUGUUACCGGUUUGGGUGAACUGGUGGUGAUAAAAAUUAUUAGUUUGGGUGAACCAGUAGUAAAAAAAAAGCUACCAGUUCCUCUGAGCUGGUAUUUCUCAUGAUCAGCUGUGCCGCGCGAUUUAAAAUCAGGAAAGCAGGAAAUCCUGCUUUCUAGUGAAUUUAAAUUGCACGGUACAACUGAUUCCGCCUCUCCCUGUUCUACUUACCUUCCCAAGCCUCCUUUUAGCAUGUGCUA